GAUGAACGCUGGCGGCGUGCCUAAUACAUGCAAGUCGAGCGAACGGACGAGAAGCUUGCUUCUCUGAUGUUAGCGGCGGACGGGUGAGUAACACGUGGAUAACCUACCUAUAAGACUGGGAUAACUUCGGGAAACCGGAGCUAAUACCGGAUGAUAUUUUGAACCGCAUGGUUCAAAAGUGAAAGACGGUCUUGCUGUCACUUAUAGAUGGAUCCGCGCUGCAUUAGCUAGUUGGUAAGGUAACGGCUUACCAAGGCAACGAUGCAUAGCCGACCUGAGAGGGUGAUCGGACACACUGGAACUGAGACACGGUCCAGACUCCUACGGGAGGCAGCAGUAGGGAAUCUUACGCAAUGGGCGAAAGCCUGACGGAGCAACGCCGCGUGAGUGAUGAAGGUCUUCGGAUCGUAAAACUCUGUUAUUAGGGAAGAACAUAUGUGUAAGUAACUGUGCACAUCUUGACGGUACCUAAUCAGAAAGCCACGGCUAACUACGUG
rnacentral:rRNA from 1 species